rnacentral:rRNA from 1 species
CAGCAGCCGCGGGAAUACGAAGGGGGCUAGCGUUGUUCGGAUUUACUGGGCGUAAAGCGCACGUAGGCGGACUUUUAAGUCAGGGGUGAAAUCCCGGGGCUCAACCCCGGAACUGCCUUUGAUACUGGGAGUCUUGAGUUCGAGAGAGGUGAGUGGAAUUGCGAGUGUAGAGGUGAAAUUCGUAGAUAUUCGCAGGAACACCAGUGGCGAAGGCGGCUCACUGGCUCGAUACUGACGCUGAGGCACGAAAGCGUGGGGAGCAAACAGGAUUAGAUACCCCGGUAGUCCCUGUCUCUUAUAC